rnacentral:rRNA from 1 species
AUACAGAGGGUGCGAGCGUUAAUCGGAAUUACUGGGCGUAAAGCGCGCGUAGGCGGUUAUUUAAGUCAGAUGUGAAAUCCCUGGGCUCAACCUAGGAACUGCAUCUGAAACUGGAUAACUCGAGUUUAGGAGAGGGGAGUAGAAUUUCGGGUGUAGCGGUGAAAUGCAUAGAGAUCCGAAGGAAUACCAGUGGCGAAGGCGACUCCCUGGCCUAGAACUGACGCUGAGGUGCGAAAGCGUGGGUAGCAAACGGGAUUAGAUACCCUAGUAGUCC